UAUGUCAAGGGGUAUGAAUACUUUCUGAAUGCACUGUAGACAUUAAGAAGUACUGAACCCAGAGUAGAAUCUUGCGGGAUGCCUUUUAUUAAAUAAGGGAUAAAUAAACAAAGUGAUUGUUGUAAGUACAGUGUGUAUUCUGUUAGGUAUACUUUGAAAACAGUACAUCAGAAUAAAAAACUAAUUCUAUUUUGCUUUCGAUUUCUCCAGUUGCAAAGUCGUUUGGCUUGUUCUCCUGCUUCAUUAAUGGGGAGGAGAGGGAACAGAGUCACAGAGCCAUCAACAGGUUCGUCCCUCGCCAUGAUGACGAGCUGAAGUUGGAGGUGGAUGACCCUCUACUGGUGGAAGUACAAGCAGAGGAUUACUGGUAUGAAGGCUACAACAUGCGUACUGGCACCCGCGGCAUCUUCCCUGCUUACUACGCCAUAGAGGUCGCCAAGAAGCCAGAGAGCUUCAAAGUGAAGAGCAGUGAAUGGAUAGACAGAUACCACAUGAAAUUCCUGGGCUCGGUCCAAGUGCCCUACCACAAAGGCAACGAUGUUCUGUGUGCAGCUAUGCAGAAG